CAGCAGCCACGGUAAUACGUAGGGUCCGAGCGUUGUCCGGAAUUAUUGGGCGUAAAGAGCUCGUAGGCGGUUUGUCGCGUCUGCUGUGAAAACCCGAGGCUCAACCUCGGGCCUGCAGUGGGUACGGGCAGACUAGAGUGCGGUAGGGGAGAUUGGAACUCCUGGUGUAGCGGUGGAAUGCGCAGAUAUCAGGAAGAACACCGAUGGCGAAGGCAGAUCUCUGGGCCGUCACUGACGCUGAGGAGCGAAAGCAUGGGGAGCGAACAGGAUUAGAUACCCCGGUAGUCCCUGUCUCUUAUAC
rnacentral:rRNA from 1 species